rnacentral:rRNA from 1 species
UGGGGAAUUUUGGACAAUGGGGGAAACCCUGAUCCAGCCAUCCCGCGUGUGCGAUGAAGGCCUUCGGGUUGUAAAGCACUUUUGGCAGGAAAGAAACGUCAUGGGUUAAUACCCCGUGAAACUGACGGUACCUGCAGAAUAAGCACCGGCUAACUACGUGCCAGCAGCCGCGGUAAUACGUAGGGUGCAAGCGUUAAUCGGAAUUACUGGGCGUAAAGCGUGCGCAGGCGGUUCGGAAAGAAAGAUGUGAAAUCCCUGAGCUCAACUUUGGAACUGCAUUUUUAACUACCGGGCUAGAGUGUGUCAGAGGGAGGUGGAAUUCCGCGUGUGGCAGUGAAAUGCGUAGAUAUGCGGAGGAACACCGAUGGCGAAGGCAGCCUCCUGGGAUAACACUGACGCUCAUGCACGAAAGCGUGGGGAGCAAACAGG